AUGGGUAGACGGGCAGCUGAUCACACCACUCCAGUGCCAGUUCUUGGAGAACCUGCACUUGUUGGGACACGCAUCUGGAGGACCGUGGCAAAUGGGACCAAUAGUAUGGCAACCCUCACACUGUCUCAUCACUGUAACGUCGGUGUGCAGACGUCACCUGCAAUGAAAAACAACCAACUACAGCUAAACGGCAAACAUGUGGAUACUUGUAGCAGUCAAUCAGAAAACAAAGUGAUCAUGCCACCUAACGGCCACAUCCCAAACGAGGCUGGUAAACAGGAGGAUAACGGAAAAGAAAAAACUAAAAGUAUCAUUUAUAAACGAAAAAGUCUGGAGACUAAAAUGAAAAAGGGUGUGACUUUUGAGGGACUGGAGAGGGAUAUUUGUAAAAACAUCAGGGAAGAAGUCCAGUGCCAUAAUUGUCCAAUCAGAACCAGUCCUCCGUUGAGAGGUGUGGCUAACAACAGGUUAAAACCGAGAAGGAAUUGUCACUUCACCAAUGGGAGUGUGGUUGACUCUGAGGUAAUGGGUGGGAUCAGCAGUGACAUCAGUGAAGGGGUGGAGUCUACCACCGGAAAGAAAAAAACAUUACCUCCUCGCUCACCUCCUCACAGACCUCCUGUGACCAUCUGCAGCACUUGUGGGGGAAGACAGAAUCCAACACCUCCUGGACUUUACAGCCAAAUAAGGAUGUUUACACCGCCAACUUCCGCAGGUUCUCUGGGACUCCAGUCAAGACAUUCAUCCCCUCUUUACCCUGGGAAGGACGUGCAGGAAUACACGCAGAUAGAAAGGCACACCGACCGCAGUGCUACACAGUCAGACCAGCACCUCAUGAGCCCUAACCUUCAUUCUUAUCUCAAUAUGAAUAUAAACAAGGAAUGGCCAUUAUCUCUGCUGCCUGCUCAGCAGAGUGAGGCAUCAAACCUCACUAAUCAUCACGCAGUCAAGAGGGAAUCUAGCGCUGACACACACAUUAAUCAUAUCAGUCGCUCAUCGGCUCUAAAUACACGCACGCUCACUGUUACCGUGAAAGAGGAUAGAGCCUCAACAAAGGUCAUAAACACACACUUGAACGCUCACAAACCUCACAACUCUUGUCCCUGCAGACCUCCUGUGACUGUCAACCCUCCCCAAACACACAAAAACAGCCUGUCAGAGAAGCUAGAAGCCACACAGGUGACAAAUACCAGAAUACCACACACAAACACUCACUUUAGAUCAUCUCACCAGCCAAACCCUGAUGAGAAACGACCAACUCAAAGAAACCAAGUCGCAACUACACACUCAGAGUCCCCCCAGCCCCAAAAUAAAAUACACAUCAAACCUUUGCAAACUACUUUGAAACAACAAAUGUUCCCCCAAACUAGCACACUGCAGAACUCCAAUGCACUUUCAAAAUGCUCACGGUUAAAUCAGACAAGCACACUUUCGAAAUCCCCUGCCUGUUUUCAUUUGCAUUCAAAUGUUAAAUGCCAAACUAUAGUGCAGAGUUGUGUGAAUGAAGGUGUCAUAUCCUCCACUGCUUCAAACAUUCACAGACAGGUUCAGUUCACUAAUGGACUAGAGUCCAAGUUUGACACGCACACUAAACCGUCAGUGUGCUCACACACAAAUUUCAGCAUUAAACCUCAAAGCGGGACGCAAAUCUGUGCUGACACAGAGUCAGAAUCAUCACCCUGUGAUUCACAUUCGCAUUCUGCACUGGUGACACACGCACAUAAACUCUCAGGGCCUCACGGUGAACCACGUCACGCAUCGAUACACACAGGCACUCCUUCGCCCACCGACACGCACAAGGAAGCUUCUUACACAUCCACACAGCGAACAAACACCAGUGGAACAUCACUGCAGGGUAUAUCCGUGCAUAAAGACGCACUGUCACAUCCUUAUCAUGAGUCAAAAAGCCAAAAUGACACUUGUUUGUUUUCACAUGCCCCAAAUAUGUCAACCCAUCACAAAGCAACACUUACUACACAAACAAUCAACCAUCAGAACCUCUCAAAUGCAUUUACCGCCAUGCAGACGGAGGUGGAGGUGCAUUCGUACACCAAAGAACGUUCUCAAGCAAGCCCUGGUGUCAAAGCAGCCUCGCGCGCUUUGUGUGUUCAUUUGAAAACGCCACGUAGGCAGACAGAGCCUACUUUCAGACGGUCUGUCCUGAAUCAGCUUAAUAAUGACACUCUUGAGUCCUCAUUACUAGCCAUCGCUUCCGCUAGGGCUUUUCCUCAAGCUACUACACACAACAGGACUGAAUUGAAAUCUUGGAGUGACACAGAGUCAAAGAAACAAACUGAUAUUAAGGCAGUGGAACCAGAAGGUCAAAUGACCAAUGGCUCACAACACUCGCUUCAACCUCCAAACAAACCACCUCCUUCUUGUCGACCUCCUAAACCUUCUUCUGCACCUCCACAAGCACCAGCUUUUAAAUUCGUAAAUGGGAACCUGAAUGUGACCUCCAAUCAAAACCCACUUUUGGAUCCCUCAGACACUUUGCCUACAGAGCACGCACAGAAAGACGGGAGUCUCCAGAACUCAAAGGCACAGAUGGAAUCUCGUUCUGAAGCGGUUGGCUCCAUCCCAAGUGAACGCUGUUCCAUAAUGCAUGACCAUCCGGAUUCUGCAGUAAGGUUGCUGCCUGCAUCCCCUAAAUGUGGCAGUCUGUGGGACCCUAAGUGUAGAUUAGAGAUGGUAGAGGCGAGUCUGCAGUCAAACAAGGAAAGAGUCACAACUCUGCUCAACGUCAUCCAGGACCUGGAGAUGAGCCAUGCAAUCAGCAAAGGGUGA
ensembl:lncRNA